ACCUGCUCAGUCAAGGUCAAUGUUAAAAAUAUAUACAUGAUCUUUAUGUUCUACUCUCUCAUUGCAUGUUAUGUACUUGCAUUUUUAAGGAUUGAUAUGACGAAGGCAUUUCAUUCUUCUAUCCAAAUGUUGUGUCAUCCUUUGUUACCCCCUUUAAGCUUUAAGUUUAUUUUCUUUUAUACACCUCUUUUGGAAUCAAAAUAUAAUCUGCAAAGUCAAAGAAAAAGAAAGAAAAAUAAAGAAAAAGAAAGAAAAAGAAAUGAGUCAAGAAAGAGAAAUAUAGUCAAAAAAAUCAAAAAGAGAAAAGUCGAAGAAAAAAAUCAUCAAAAAUUAAAAUCAAGCAAAAGAAUGACUUAUCUGAACUAAGUUUGACCUGAUUCUUGCUAUGACAAGAUACGUAGGCAGCCCUACUCUAGGAUCCGG
rnacentral:lncRNA from 1 species